UGGGGAAUUUUGGACAAUGGGGGCAACCCUGAUCCAGCAAUGCCGCGUGUGUGAAGAAGGCCUUCGGGUUGUAAAGCACUUUUGUCCGGAAAGAAAACGCCGUGGUUAAUACCCGUGGCGGAUGACGGUACCGGAAGAAUAAGCACCGGCUAACUACGUGCCAGCAGCCGCGGUAAUACGUAGGGUGCAAGCGUUAAUCGGAAUUACUGGGCGUAAAGCGUGCGCAGGCGGUCCGCUAAGACAGAUGUGAAAUCCCCGGGCUUAACCUGGGAACUGCAUUUGUGACUGGCGGGCUAGAGUAUGGCAGAGGGGGGUAGAAUUCCACGUGUAGCAGUGAAAUGCGUAGAGAUGUGGAGGAAUACCGAUGGCGAAGGCAGCCCCCUGGGCCAAUACUGACGCUCAUGCACGAAAGCGUGGGGAGCAAACAGGAUUAGAUACCCUGGUAGUCCACGCCCUAAACGAUGUCAACUAGUUGUCGGGUCUUCAUUGACUUGGUACGUAGCUAACCGCGUGAAGUUGACCGCCUGGGGAGUACGGUCGCAAGAUUAAAACUUAAAUGAAUU
rnacentral:rRNA from 1 species